CCUUCCGCAGUGCCUGACGGGAGGCAGAGCGGCGAGCGAGGGCGUCGGCCAUUUUGUGUCUGUUUCCUGUGGGACGCGGCGGUGGCCGUUGGGUCUGAAGAGCCAGCGGCUUUCGCCUCGACUUUCCUGCUUAUUUUCUCCUCCCUUUCUUGCUUUAUCGGCGGGGCGCAGUUAUGGGCCGUAAGAAGAAGAAGCAGCUGAAGCCGUGGUGCUGGUACUGUAAUAGAGAUUUUGAUGAUGAGAAGAUCCUUAUACAGCACCAAAAAGCAAAACAUUUUAAGUGCCAUAUAUGUCAUAAGAAGUUGUACACAGGACCUGGCUUGGCUAUACACUGCAUGCAGGUGCAUAAAGAGACCAUAGAUGCUGUACCAAAUGCAAUACCUGGGAGAACAGACAUAGAGUUGGAAAUAUAUGGUAUGGAAGGUAUUCCAGAAAAAGACAUGGAUGAAAGAAGACGGCUUCUUGAGCAGAAAACCCAGGGUAAAGAGAGUCAAAAAAAGAAGCAGCAAGAUGAUUCUGAUGAAUACGAUGAUGACGACUCUGCAGCUUCAACUUCAUUUCAACCACAGCCUGUUCAACCCCAACAAGGCUAUAUACCCCCAAUGGCACAGCCAGGACUACCACCAGUUCCAGGAGCACCAGGAAUGCCUCCAGGCAUACCUCCAUUAAUGCCAGGUGUUCCUCCUCUGAUGCCAGGAAUGCCACCAGUUAUGCCAGGCAUGCCACCUGGAUUGCAUCAUCAGAGAAAAUACACCCAGUCAUUUUGCGGUGAAAACAUAAUGAUGCCAAUGGGUGGAAUGAUGCCACCUGGACCAGGAAUACCACCUCUGAUGCCUGGUAUGCCACCAGGUAUGCCCCCUCCUGUUCCACGUCCUGGAAUUCCUCCAAUGACUCAAGCACAGGCUGUUUCAGCACCAGGUAUUCUUAAUAGACCACCUGCACCAACAGCAGCAGUUCCUGCUCCACAGCCUCCAGUUACUAAGCCUCUUUUCCCCAGUGCCGGACAGAUGGGGACACCUGUAACAAGCUCAAGUACAGCUUCAUCCAAUUCAGAAAGUCUGUCUGCAUCUUCUAAAGCUCUGUUUCCUAGCACAGCACAAGCUCAGGCAGCUGUUCAAGGACCUGUUGGUACAGAUUUCAAGCCCUUAAGUAGUACCCCUGCAACAACUACAGAACCCCCAAAGCCUACAUUCCCUGCUUAUACACAGUCUACAGCUUCAACCACUAGUACAACAAAUAGCACUGCAGCUAAACCAGCGGCAUCAAUAACAAGUAAGCCUGCUACUCUAACGACAACCAGUGCAACCAGUAAGUUGAUCCAUCCAGAUGAGGAUAUCUCUUUGGAAGAAAGAAGGGCACAGUUACCUAAAUAUCAGCGUAAUCUUCCUCGCCCAGGACAGGCUCCCAUUGGUAAUCCACCAGUUGGACCAAUUGGAGCUAUGAUGCCACCACAGCCAGGCAUCCCACAGCAACAAGGAAUGAGACCCCCAAUGCCGCCUCAUGGUCAGUAUGGUGGUCAUCAUCAAGGCAUGCCAGGUUAUCUUCCUGGCGCUAUGCCACCAUAUGGGCAGGGACCGCCAAUGGUGCCCCCUUACCAAGGUGGGCCUCCUCGACCUCCGAUGGGAAUGAGACCUCCUGUAAUGUCGCAAGGUGGCCGUUACUGAUCUCGCUUCAUCCAAUCUAAUAGGUUUUUAGAAGUGAAGUAUAGUAAAUUUGGUUCGUUAUAUUGUGAAGGCGCUGGAAUUUCAUGAACGUACCACCUUAAUAAAGCCCUGCCAUAGGACAGGCUGAGGCUGAGUCUCAGUGUUGCCCUGUUCAGUCUGAGGCAAGUGGGAUUUAUUUUAUUCCUUAUAGGGGCUUUCACAGCUUGAUGGCUGUUGGAUAUUUAUGUCCCCAAACUUGCAGCAAGUUUGGUGAAGGCCCCUAUGUUUAAUUAAACGUAGGAUUUUUAUACUCUUUUGGCAGAGAAGGCUCUAUAUUAAUAUUCACAUUUAACUGUGGUGUUAAUAAAAAUAAUUAAGAACCAUUGAAUAUAAGUAAUUUGAGUUAUGUUAUACCUAACAGCCCCAGUAAAGCUGGUAUUGCAAUAUUGCAGUUUCAUAAAUUGACAAAAUUUGACAUUUUGAUUUGGAUGCAUGAAAUAUUUCAAACAAAUUUCCCACUUUCAAUUUUUAGGGAAAUCUUACUGGUUACUUUCCCUUCAAACUAUUAAAUUUAAACUCAAGGAUAAGAUUGAUUAUUGGAAAUAUUACUGAGUACUGAAAUACCGUACACAUUUUUAACCCCAACAUUAUGCAUUGAACAUUAAGGUUGAAAGGUCAUCUGGAAAUGCUUGUGAUUUUUAAUAUUUUUCAAACCUCACCACAUUAGAGCAAAUGUUAAUGUAGAGCCCUGGGAAAAGUGGGAAGGUGGUAUAUGUGUGGUAUGUAUGCGUAUACACUACACAUUGGGUAUUACAGACCUGUGAGUAUGGCUAGAUUACUAAUUUUCAGGUAGCCAAAUGAAAGUCGUACCAUGAGGUAAAAUUAGUCUAUUGAACUGUGGAUUCAAAUCAGUUAUUUUGAGGUUUAUUUUCAGUCUUAGCAAUAUCUUAUACAAUCUACAUAUGUGAGAAGUAUCCAUGUUUGUUUCCCAACUAAAGUUUAAAUUGGCGAGAAAAGAUGUGUUUAUGCCUGUAUAUUGUAGG